CUGAGAAUAUUAAACCCGUCCACGUGUCGGGUUCUGAUUGGAAAUACAUCAGCAAUGUAGCUAAACCACCCAUUGACUCACCGAAGAGAAACGCUGGGAGGUGGUUGUAGGGAGGAGAACGGCGGACGUGGAGGAAAAAUGAAAGUGAGGUGGCGGCGAUUUUGUCCAUGUCCCCGAGGUAGCAACGGAGGCCAUCGGAACGGCCGUGACCUAAGAGAUCAGCGGUGAAGACGGCGUAACCCCAGGUGGCGUAGGUGAUGCAGAUUUUUUGGAAGAGCCAGCCGGUGUCGGAGCCGUAACCGUGAGUCAUGUAAACGGUAGCUUUGAUUUCAGCGUUGAGUGGGAGAAAGGACUGUGUGAAGAUUUUGCCGUUGGGUGUUUCGAAGUGUGAUUU
rnacentral:lncRNA from 1 species